UCCGGGUCCGUGCGCCUCGGAGUCCGCGCACUCCGGAGCUCGAGCCGAGGCUGGGCGUCCACUUCUGGACCUCAGCGGUGUCUCCCAGAGCCUUUGGAGAGACGUCUUCCUCUGUGGCCCAGCCACGGUCCCUGCAGCAAACGGCCUUCGCCAGCUCCGCUUGGCUCCAGGACCGCCCUGAGAACAUUCACUGCCCACGUCGACCUUGCGCGUGAUAAAUCAUGAGCGAUCGCUGCUCCUAGAAGGGCGUGCAGCUCCCGGCUCUGGCCAGGCCGGGUGCUCUGGUCAAUAAAACCAGCCUGAUUCCUGCGCCCCCGCGUGUGACCCU
ensembl:lincRNA